UGAGGAAUAUUGGUCAAUGGGCGGAAGCCUGAACCAGCCAUGCCGCGUGCGGGAAGAAGGCGCUACGCGUCGUAAACCGCUUUUGUCCGGGGGUAACCGCGGGGACGUGUCCCCGCCUGCAAGUACCGGACGAAUAAGGGUCGGCUAACUCCGUGCCAGCAGCCGCGGUAAUACGGAGGACCCGAGCGUUAUCCGGAUUCAUUGGGUUUAAAGGGUGCGCAGGCGGCCCGGUCAGUCAGCGGUGAAAUGCCCGCGCUUCACGCGGGAGCUGCCGUUGAUACUGCCGGGCUAGAAUCUCAGCGAGGCGGGCGGAAUGCGCGGUGUAGCGGUGAAAUGCAUAGAUAUCGCGCAGAACGCCGAUUGGGGAGCCAGCUCGCCAGCUGGGUAUUGACGCUGAGGC
rnacentral:rRNA from 1 species